rnacentral:ncRNA from 2 species
GGGUGUCGGUGGCAUUGGGUCUCGGCAGGUUUUUGCGCAGGUCGGGCCGCCGCG